GUGGUUGUAGCUUAGUGGUAGAGCACUUGCCUAGCAUGUGUGAGGCACUGAGUUCAAUUCUCAGCAUCACA
rnacentral:tRNA from 1 species